rnacentral:rRNA from 1 species
UACGUAGGGUGCAGGCGUUAAUCGGAAUUACUGGGCGUAAAGCGUGCGCAGGCGGUUUCUUAAGUCAGAUGUGAAAGUCCCGGGCUUAACCUGGGGAUUGCGCCUGAUACUGUCAGACUAGAGUACUGUAGAGGAAAGUGGAAUUUCCGGUGUAGCGGUGAAAUGCGUAGAUAUCGGAAGGAACACCAGUGGCGAAGGCGACUUUCUGGACAGAUACUGACACUGAGGCACGAAAGCAUGGGGAGCAAACAGG